rnacentral:lncRNA from 1 species
CGUGCUUGGGCCACGCCGCGACAUGGCAUGAGGUGGACUUGGUUUUGCCACUUGUGUGCUGGUUGAUAGAGGCAUCAAAUCGGCGAUUACAAUAGUUUCUGUCUCGAGCUAUCAAAUGAUUGUUUACAGUAGUAGUGCUAGAGUUUCCAGACGAUUACUUGGUUGGUUACACCUGUAACUUCGCCCAUCCAAGUGCAUUCCCUUGAUCCUAUGUCUCCUCUUCCUUUGUGCGAAUAAGAACGACUGAGUGUCCAGAAGCUCACGCGUACAACAGAACCACACAAAACCCUCUCUUUCUUUGCUUCUGCUGCUUUCAAGUUGUCCCCGUUCUAUGACACUUGCUCAGGUAUGUGUUUUUGGGAGCGCUUCAUUGCAUGACUGCUCACAUCUUUUUAAUUAGUGGACCAGUAGCGUCUUCUUCAUGAGUCCCCGCAAACCACUGCUUAGGUGUGAGGAUGAUAAGUUUUGGGAGCGCUUCAUCUCAGAAUUGUUCGUAUCUUCAGGGCAGAUCAACAACACAAGUCUGCAUCCUAGUGGGCGUUUGUGGGAUUGCAUUGCGAACAUCUCCCUACAUCGAUUGAGGUCUAUGGCUUCGAACAAUUCACUGUGAGUAAGAAAGGCAUCACCAGUGUCCAAGCAGAGGUCCUGCUCUAGGAUGUACACCUAUUUUUGUUGAGUCUGUGAAAUAUAGUAUAGCUUUUGUACUGAUUAGUAUGUUUGCCAUGGUUGCUACCAUGGUAGUUAGAUCACAAGUGCGCAUAAAUGAUGUCAUAAAUAUUUUUAUUUUUUUGGAUUAAAUCAUGCUUAAAUUUUCUAAAUAUCUAAAUAAUCCUAAAAUCGACUUCAGCCACUUCUUGGUUAGUGAUUUUGCUUCCGCUCUUAAGCACUAUAAGAUGGUUGAUAACUGAUCUUUAGUGGAACAGACUCAUGAGAUACAAACACUAAUAAAGAAACUCAUUUUUUUCACAGAUGUUCCCUAACAGCUUGUGGUGUAUGUCUACUUACACCUUCUUGGAGAGAUUUUGCGACCUCUACAAGAUUUUAAUGUUGUUGAUCCAAUUGGGUCUCUUGUAAUGUAGGUGAAGAUAAGACAAGUGCAAAAUAUAAUUUUAGAAAGGGAGUUGAGUCUUCUAUGCUGAUUUGGUGUGUAAGAAAAACUCUAGUGCUUCUCGAAAUAAGAAAAAGAAGAAUACACAAGUAACUAUAAAUGAGAAAGGCAUCACCCAUCGAUAAUAUGAGUAUCACAAAUAUUUAUUCAUUAGUGAUUUACAAAAUUUCACGCGAAUGUCAUAUUGCUACAUAUAUAUCUUGAUGAAUGAUAAUAUUUGUUUAACUUUGCAAUAAAUUCUUCCAUACUAAAACUUUUUGGGGUUAUAGCCCUUCGCUCGUACCUUCACUAGGGUGAGGGUAUCUAUGCUGGGGUAAGGGUAAGUUUGUGUGCUAGGCCUACACACAAAAGAGAGGGGGAGCUAAAGAUGAG